rnacentral:rRNA from 1 species
AUUGAACGCUGGCGGCAGGCCUAACACAUGCAAGUCGAGCGGAUGAGUGGAGCUUGCUCCAUGAUUCAGCGGCGGACGGGUGAGUAAUGCCUAGGAAUCUGCCUGGUAGUGGGGGACAACGUUUCGAAAGGAACGCUAAUACUGCAUACGUCCUACGGGAGAAAGUGGGGGAUCUUCGGACCUCACGCUAUCAGAUGAGCCUAGGUCGGAUUAGCUAGUUGGUGAGGUAAAGGCUCACCAAGGCGACGAUCCGUAACUGGUCUGAGAGGAUGAACAGUCACACUGGAACUGAGACACGGUCCAGACUCCUACGGGAGGCAGCAGUGGGGAAUAUUGGACAAUGGGCGAAAGCCUGAUCCAGCCAUGCCGCGUGUGUGAAGAAGGUCUUCGGAUUGUAAAGCACUUUAAGUUGGGAGGAAGGGCAGUAAGUUAAUACCUUGCUGUUUUGACGUUACCAACAGAAUAAGCACCGGCUAACUGCGUGCCAGCCGCCGCCGUAAUAC